AGAUGGUAAACAGUUUGAGAUAACACUAGAUUUUCUUGGACUGGUUGAGAAGUUUUUCUAUCUUUCCGGUAGAUAUGAUAUUCAACUUACUGUUGGUGAUGCUGUCAUGGAGAACUCUUACUUACGAGAACUGGGACAUAUUGAAUUAGAUCUUCCAGAACCACCUGAGAAGGCUACCCGCCCUCCUCCACAAGCUGUUGAUCCUUAUUUGAGAUGUGGACCCAAAGCUGAGAUCCUGUCUAUU